rnacentral:rRNA from 1 species
AGUGAACGCUGGCGGUAGGCCUAACACAUGCAAGUCGAACGGCAGCACAGAGGAGCUUGCUCCUUGGGUGGCGAGUGGCGGACGGGUGAGGAAUACAUCGGAAUCUACUCUGUCGUGGGGGAUAACGUAGGGAAACUUACGCUAAUACCGCAUACGACCUACGGGUGAAAGCAGGGGCUCUUCGGACCUUGCGCGAUUGAAUGAGCCGAUGUCGGAUUAGCUAAUUGGCGGGGUAAAGGCCCACCAAGGCGACGAUCCGUAGCUGGUCUGAGAGGAUGAUCAGCCACACUGGAACUGAGACACGGUCCAGACUCCUACGGGAGGCAGCAGUGGGGAAUAUUGGACAAUGGCGCAAGCCUGAUCCAGCCAUACCGCGUGGGUGAAGAAGGCCUUCGGGUUGUAAAGCCCUUUUGUUGGGAAAGAAAUCCAUCUGGUUAAUACCCGGGUGGGAUGACGGUACCCAAAGAAUAAGCACCGGCUAACUUCGUGCCAGCCGCCGCCGUAA